UACGUAGGGUGCGAGCGUUGUCCGGAAUUAUUGGGCGUAAAGAGCUUGUAGGCGGUCUGUCGCGUCUGCUGUGAAAAUCCGGGGCUCAACCCCGGACUUGCAGUGGGUACGGGCAGACUAGAGUGUGGUAGGGGAGACUGGAAUUCCUGGUGUAGCGGUGAAAUGCGCAGAUAUCAGGAGGAACACCAGCGGCGAAGGCGGCGCUCUGGGCCGGUACUGACGCUGAGGAGCGAAAGCGUGGGGAGCAAACAGG
rnacentral:rRNA from 1 species